rnacentral:rRNA from 1 species
AGUGAACGCUGGCGGUAGGCCUAACACAUGCAAGUCGAACGGCAGCACAGUAAGAGCUUGCUCUUACGGGUGGCGAGUGGCGGACGGGUGAGGCAUACAUCGGAAUCUACUUUUUCGUGGGGGAUAGCGUAGGGAAACUUACGCUAAUACCGCAUACGACCUACGGGUGAAAGCAGGGGAUCUUCGGACCUUGCGCGACUGAAUGAGCCGAUGUCGGAUUAGCUAGUUGGCGGGGUAAAGGCCCACCAAGGCGACGAUCCGUAGCUGGUCUGAGAGGAUGAUCAGCCACACUGGAACUGAGACACGGUCCAGACUCCUACGGGAGGCAGCAGUGGGGAAUAUUGGACAAUGGGCGCAAGCCUGAUCCAGCCAUACCGCGUGGGUGAAGAAGGCCUUCGGGUUGUAAAGCCCUUUUGUUGGGAAAGAAAAGCAGCAGGUUAAUACCCCGCUGUUCUGACGGUACCCAAAGAAUAAGCACCGGCUAACUUCGUG